rnacentral:rRNA from 1 species
AGCGAACGCUGGCGGCAGGCCUAACACAUGCAAGUCGAACGAACCUUUCGGGGUUAGUGGCGGACGGGUGAGUAACACGUGGGAACGUGCCUUUAGGUUCGGAAUAACUCAGGGAAACUUGUGCUAAUACCGAAUGUGCCCUUCGGGGGAAAGAUUUAUCGCCUUUAGAGAGGCCCGCGUCUGAUUAGCUAGUUGGUUGAGGUAAUGGCUCACCAAGGCGACGAUCAGUAGCUGGUCUGAGAGGAUGAUCAGCCACAUUGGGACUGAGACACGGCCCAAACUCCUACGGGAGGCAGCAGUGGGGAAUCUUGCGCAAUGGGCGAAAGCCUGACGCAGCCAUGCCGCGUGAAUGAUGAAGGUCUUAGGAUUGUAAAAUUCUUUCACCGGGGACGAUAAUGACGGUACCCAGAGAAGAAGCCCCGGCUAACUUCGUG